rnacentral:rRNA from 1 species
UACGUAGGGGGCAAGCGUUGUCCGGAUUUAUUGGGCGUAAAGAGCGUGUAGGCGGCCAGACAGGUCCGUUGUGAAAACUCGAGGCUCAACCUCGAGAUGUCGAUGGAAACCGUCUGGCUAGAGUCCGGAAGAGGAGUGUGGAAUCCUGGUGUAGCGGUGAAAUGCGCAGAUAUCAGGAGGAACACCGAUGGCGAAGGCAGCUCGCUGGGACGGUACUGACGCUGAGGCGCGAAAGCGUGGGAGCAAACAGG